GCUGGCGGCGUGCUUAACACAUGCAAGUCGAACGGAAAGGCCCUGCUUUUGUGGGGUGCUCGAGUGGCGAACGGGUGAGUAACACGUGAGUAACCUGCCCUUGACUUUGGGAUAACUUCAGGAAACUGGGGCUAAUACCGGAUAGGAGCUCCUGCUGCAUGGUGGGGGUUGGAAAGUUUCGGCGGUUGGGGAUGGACUCGCGGCUUAUCAGCUUGUUGGUGGGGUAGUGGCUUACCAAGGCUUUGACGGGUAGCCGGCCUGAGAGGGUGACCGGCCACAUUGGGACUGAGAUACGACCCAGACUCCUACGGGAGGCAGCAGUGGGGAAUAUUGCACAAUGGGCGGAAGCCUGAUGCAGCAACGCCGCGUGCGGGAUGACGGCCUUCGGGUUGUAAACCGCUUUCGCCUGUGACGAAGCGUGAGUGACGGUAAUGGGUAAAGAAGCACCGGCUAACUACGUGCCAGCAGCCGCGGUGAUACGUAGGGUGCGAGCGUUGUCCGGAUUUAUUGGGCGUAAAGGGCUCGUAGGUGGUUGAUCGCGUCGGAAGUGUAAUCUUGGGGCUUAACCCUGAGCGUGCUUUCGAUACGGGUUGACUUGAGGAAGGUAGGGGAGAAUGGAAUUCCUGGUGGAGCGGUGGAAUGCGCAGAUAUCAGGAGGAACACCAGUGGCGAAGGCGGUUCUCUGGGCCUUUCCUGACGCUGAGGAGCGAAAGCGUGGGGAGCGAACAGGCUUAGAUACCCUGGUAGUCCACGCUGUAAACGGUGGGUACUAGGUGUGGGGUCCAUUCCACGGGUUCCGUGCCGUAGCUAACGCUUUAAGUACCCCGCCUGGGGAGUACGGCCGCAAGGCUAAAACUCAAAGGAAUUGACGGGGCCCCGCACAAGCGGCGGAGCAUGCGGAUUAAUUCGAUGCAACGCGUAGAGCCUUACCUGGGUUUGACAUGGAUCGGGAGUGCUCAGAGAUGGGUGUGCCUCUUUUGGGGUCGGUUCACAGGUGGUGCAUGGCUGUCGUCAGCUCGUGUCGUGAGAUGUUGGGUUAAGUCCCGCAACGAGCGCAACCCUUGUUCACUGUUGCCAGCACGUUAUGGUGGGGACUCAGUGGAGACCGCCGGGGUCAACUCGGAGGAAGGUGGGGAUGACGUCAAGUCAUCAUGCCCCUUAUGUCCAGGGCUUCACGCAUGCUACAAUGGCUGGUACAGAGAGUGGCGAGCCUGUGAGGGUGAGCGAAUCUCGGAAAGCCGGUCUCAGUUCGGAUUGGGGUCUGCAACUCGACCUCAUGAAGUCGGAGUCGCUAGUAAUCGCAGAUCAGCAACGCUGCGGUGAAUACGUUCCCGGGGCUUGUACACACCGCCCGUCAAGUCAUGAAAGUUGGUAACACCCGAAGCCGGUGGCCUAACCGUUGUGGGGGAGCCGUCGAAGGUGGGACUGGUGAUUAGG
rnacentral:rRNA from 1 species